rnacentral:lncRNA from 1 species
CGGCUGGGACAGGCUGCUGCAUCAGGCGGCCCUGGACCGCCGCUUCCGCCCCUAAGCCGCCCUCGCAGCCCAGGCGACCGGUCGCCCUACCCAGGGAGCAUCGCCCUCCUCAGCCGGGGCCCGAGCCCGGCGUGGGGGUUGCAGGCUGGCGCCACAGCCUGAGGACACCGCGACCUCUGCCCCCAGGAGCACGCCGAAUGCCAGGAAACUUUCCGGAAUGCGUCCAGGUGUUGAAGCGGGAAGGCUGGACACCCUCCCUUGGCGUUGCGGUUCCUUCCAGACGCCCCCUCUUCUUAGGCUGUUUUCAAGGGCAUGCCCGGCAACAUGUGCUCUACCCAAGAGCGCUUCACAGAUCUUCCUGUGGGUCUAAAACCAGAACGCUUUCUUCCCCGACCCCUGCUCCCGUAUCACCCCAACCUCAAGUCUUUUGGCACAGCCGGCUACAGACUCGAGUGUCAGUUUAAUGCUUGUUCCCUAAGGUCUCCCCAGGGCUCUUAGGACGGCGUCAGGAUUAGGAUUCGGGUUCGGGUGCGCCUCUUCGCGCCUGCGCCGGCGCUGGCAGGGGGAGGGCCUCUCUGCGCCUGCGCCGGCGCUGGGGGCCUUUGCAAGGGUGGAGCUGCGUUCUCUUCAGCACAGACCCGGAGAGCGUCGUGAUGGCGGAGCUUUCUCCUCUGCACAGGCUUCGGAGAUACAGCGAAGGUGGAGCAAUGUUCUCCUCAGCACAGACCUGGGCGGGUCGGGGGCACCGCGAGGGCGGAGCUGUGUUCUGCUCAGCACAGACCCCGGGGACACCGCGAAGGCAGAGCAAGGUUCUCCUCAGCACAGACCUUGAGGGCACUGCCUCGCUUUGGGACAACUCGGGGCCGCAUCGACGGUGAAUAAAAUCCUUCCUGUUUGCAGCCCUGAAUAAUCAGUGUCAGAGACCAGUUAGAAGGGUUCAGUGUGGAAAACGGGAAAUCAAAAGCCCCUCUGAAUCCUGCCCACCGAGGUUCUCCCCAGCCAAGGCGAGGUGGCCGCAGUGCGAGAUACAUACCGCAGCCUCGGAAGACAAAUGCAGCAUUCCUAAUGCAGACAUGACACCCCCAUUGCUCAUGUAACAAGCACCUGUAAUGCUAAUGCACUGCCUCAAUACAAAAAUAUUAAUAUAAGAUCCGCAAUCCCCUCACUGCUGUGCAGUCC